rnacentral:rRNA from 1 species
UGGGGAAUCUUGCACAAUGGGCGAAAGCCUGAUGCAGCCAUGCCGCGUGAAUGAUGAAGGCCUUAGGGUUGUAAAAUUCUUUCGCUAGGGAUGAUAAUGACAGUACCUAGUAAAGAAGCCCCGGCUAACUUCGUGCCAGCAGCCGCGGUAAUACGAAGGGGGCUAGCGUUGUUCGGAAUUACUGGGCGUAAAGCGCGCGUAGGCGGACUUUUAAGUCAGAUGUGAAAUCCCGGGGCUCAACCCCGGAACUGCCUUCAAAACUAUCAGCCUAGAGUUCGAGAGAGGUGAGUGGAAUUCCGAGUGUAGAGGUGAAAUUCGUAGAUAUUCGGAGGAACACCAGUGGCGAAGGCGGCUCACUGGCUCGAUACUGACGCUGAGGUGCGAAAGCGUGGGGAGCAAACAGGAUUAGAUACCCGGGUAGUCC